UUUUAAGCAAUGAAGGGAAUUUAAGUAGUACUUAUCUCAAUGUAAUAGAGAGCUGAUGGUUGGUGGAAAUCAGUACAAAGAUAAGCAUGAAUUUCGGUCCUGGAGCUAUUUUUUUCGAAGUAAAGUUUAAUCUUUACUGAGGGAAAAACGGUCAAAUUUGAUCGUUAUCAAAUUUUAAGAGGCAGAAUAUUUCUGCAACUAGGGUGGUACCGCGAAUAAUUCGUCCCUACU
rnacentral:ncRNA from 1 species